GGCUAUUUAUACAUGGUUAAACACCAGUAAGGGUACUCAGUACUGCUGUAUGUGGUUCGGAAAUGCUAUGGUGUUUAAGUUAACAAAAUCACAGAUAUAUUUUAAACACACCAAUGAGGAAAACAUUGACUGGAGGUUCAUUAAUUCAACAUAAACUUAUUUUGAAGACCUGUAAGUACUACUUGUAGCAAAAUUAUAAGGGAUUCAAACUGAAAUUGUAUUCAAACUUGAAAAUGCGAAACCAGGAAAUCUUACGCAGGCAAAAACAUCCAAAGUCCAGGUAAGAAAGUCCUUAAUCCAAUAAUCAAAAUACCAACAGUACAAUGACAGCGGUUUAUCUAUUGCUCUUUUUCCUUUCCUGUGGCCUCCUUGUGUCUUUCCCUGGUCAAACCUCUGGUCAGCUUUGGUGCAGUAAUCCCACAAACACCUCUGUCCAAUACAUACAUAAACAGCAGGUGCCAAAACUUUCAAAAAUAAAACAACUACUUCAAUAACUACUGUAAACUAAUGUAAUCCAAGGUCAUGUUGGGUUUAAACUGUGUGUUAUUCACUGUGUGUGCCAUAGGGUGUCGCUGUCUUAUUACCUAUAGGGCUCAGGUGUAUGAGGUGUAAAGUCUAACAGGAUUGGGUGUGUCUGACCCCGGAAGAGCAUGGAUUUUGACCAGCGUAGCGCGAGUGUGUGAGUACAGCAAAGAUUGUUUGCUCGGGAGAUGAACUGAAUAUUGAUGGAUAUAGACUGUACUUUAUCAUGCACAACAAGAGACAGUAAAUGGAUGGUAUUAUGCUGCACCUGAUAACAAGCCUACCGAUUUCUCAUUUUAAACACCACCACAAAUGGUAUCUGAAAACUCAGCUGUUCGACUGCAUCUUUUGUCUGUAGCACUUACAAAGGAUUUGGCUUUAGGGGAAGCUAAUGCAGUAGCACUUAAUGUGUUUGGGUUUAUAGAUAGGAAGUGUACCUGCAGGAUUUUUGCUUUUGAGUUUGUUUCUUCACGGUUUAUUGCACGUAUUAUUGUCAGUCUCUUUGGAUCAACACGUCAGCUAAAUGUAAUGUAUCUUAUCCACACAGUUUAUCAGCCAGGUCAUUCCCGGGAGUUAAAGCACCAAACAGUAACUUUAGUAUUAUGCUUAAGCUCCCACAGUUACUCUAAAAUACAUGACAGGCAACAAACGAGUCCAAUUAGUUUGUAUUCUGGCCCUGACUUUUUAAAAGUCCUGUCUCGAUUGAAGAGGGAGCACUGCCCUCUGGUGGUGAUACACCAGAAUAAAAAGCCUUUUGCACCAGACAGAAAAUAUCUAAAGAUAUGUUUCCUAAUGUGAGUUCAUAUUUCCGGUUAAUUGUAACAAAAAAAGUAAAAGCUUACGGCACCGGGUAUUCCCAGGCGGUCGAACUGCCAAGUCCCUACUAGCGACCAAUGGUUGAGCAGAGCUGAGCAAAGCUGAGCAGCGAUCAGCCAAUGGUUGAGCAAUGCUGAGCAGAGCUGAGCGCUCAACAGACCAAUCAUUGAGCGAUCAGGCUCACGUUUGUGUGUGACGUCACACUUGGGUCGUCUGCAUUUUGAAACAAGAUGGCGGCCGAUAGCUGCCAAAUGGAUUGAUAAUAUACAUUUAAUGCUCCCGUUUCUCUCAGGUAAGUUCAAUCUUUUUCAUUCUUGGCUCUUUUUGUAGGUAAUUCGGUGGUGCAUUUAGCCAGCUAGGUGUCACUUUUGCUGUGUUGAAUGAUUCUAUGAAAACCGGCAGAUUAACGCGACUGUUAACAGCUGAACCGGCGAAUCCAGCUAUAGCCUACUGUACACAUUUGACACUCUGUUUCCCUCUAGUAAUUUCAAUAUUCUUCAUUCUUAGCUCUUUCUGUUGGUAAUUCGGUGGUGCAUUUAGCCAGCUAGGUGUCACUUUUGCUGUGUUGAAUGAUUCUAUGAAAACCGGCAGAUUAACUCGACUGUUAACAGCUGAACCGGCGAAUCCAGCGAUAGCCUACUGUACACAUUUGACGCUCUUGUUUCCCUCUAGUAAUUUCAAUAUUCUUCAUUCUUAGCUCUUUCUGUUGGUAAUUCGGUGGUGCAUUUAGCCAGCUAUGUGUCACUUUUGCUGUGUUGAAUGAUUCUAUGAAAACCGGCAGAUUAACGCGACUGUUAAAAGCUGAACCGGCGAAUCCAGCAAUAGCCUACUGCACACAUUUGACGCUCUCGUUUCCCUCUGGUAAUUUCAAUAUUCUUCAUUCUUAGCUCUUUCUGUUGGUAAUUCGGUGGUGCAUUUAGCCAGCUAGGUGUCACUUUUGCUGUGUUGAAUGAUUCUGUGGAAACCGGCAGAAAAACGCCACUGUUUACACAUGCGGAUUUGACAUGUUCUUGUGAAUGGAUCCUCUUGCCAUCCUCUUGCCAUUAAAUAUGGCCUAGCUUUUCACUUAGAUCGAUAUCUAUGGAAUCUGGUAGCUUUACAGCAAUAUUUAGGUUUGAGAUAUGUGUUUUGGAGGUGUGACUUGUCCGCUGUGGAGUUUGGAACAGAUUUACCUACAUGUUGUUUAUCAACAUGUAAUUGCUGAUUUUGGAUAGGGAGAAGUUUAACUGAAAACGUUAUAUUCCUCUUUCCACAGGUCUCCAUGCUGAUUAGUGUUGCUUUAAACAUGGAGAAGUGUAGCAUUUGCAGCAUUUGCAGCAAAAGUUUCACUUUAAAGCGACAGUUGUGCCCAAGGUGAUAGCACACAGGCGAGUGCUGUCUUUUGACCCCAUGCCAGUGGCACCUACUCUGCCGACAACCUUACCGGUUCCAGCUUGAGCUCAGGUGCAGUACCAGAACCUGGAUCACCUGGCUGGGGAAAGGCGUGGGGCAAAACAAAGGCUAGAAAUGAAGACACCAUCAGAGCAGGGGAACAAGCCCAUCCAGCCCAAGCCUGCCACGUACAUCCCGCCUCGUGUGUGUGCUGCACCAGUACUGCUGGUGGUCCCGGCACAGCCGCGGGCUCCAUCCAUGAUGCUGCCAGGGACAUCCUGCAGUCAGGGCAUUGCUGGCUUUAUGCCAGCUGCACCGCCACCUGUGCCUGUGUCCAAACCAGCCAAGCCUCACAGAUCCUUGAGGCCAUGCGGGGCGUGCCAGGUACCCAAUUGUGGGGGGAAGCGUAAAAGAUAUACACCCUCAAAAGAUAAGGUUUCUGGAAGCAAGCAGAAAAUCUUUACAUUCUGCCCUUCAACCAGAAAGGCCACCACCUCGGGUUUUGAAGGUGUGGUGUACGAAAGUUUUGAGCAUUUCAAAAGAGUGGUUGAUGAUGCAUUAGAAUAAACAUAUUAGUAUGUGUUAUAUGUUUUAUAUUUUAUAUAUGUUUAUGUUUUAUAUUUUAUAUAUGUUUUAUAUGUUCAAUAUGUUUCAGAUUUUAUAUGUUUAUAUGUUUUAUAUCUUUUAUAUGUUUAUACCAAAGUUUGUGGGUCAGUUUCUAAUCCUUGCAAUACUGCAUUUUGUACUGAUAAUUCUUAUUUAUACUUUUGUAUCAACAUAACCUUGAUUAAACACUUUAAACUGG